AAACAGAUUUAAUAUCCGCCGGAAGAGAAGGUUUGAUGUCACUAGCUCGCCUGACACGGAAAAGAGAAAUUACCCGAUCAUUAGUAGCCACGUCACUCUCGUAAUUUUCACACGUGUUCCACGACAGCAGAGUAAGCCAAGUAGGCACGUGUGGAAUUCAUGAGGGAGGAGCCAGCACGUCGUCCGCGUCAUCACUUUCCCCAAACGGUGGUCUUGCCUCCGAUCCGACACCUCCUUUCUAAUCUAUCCCAUUUUCUCUCUCUAUCAAUAAAAGAAGAAACAACAUUUUCAAUUUCCAUUUUUCCUUUGUUUGCUUUCUUCCUCUCUCUUUUCUCUCGCUAAAUACUCUCCUUUGCCUUCAAGUUAUCUUCUUUUCGGCCUCACCUUUAUUCAAAAACCCUAACAUACGACCUAAUACCCCAUCCCCCCCCUAUUUUUUAUUUUUUUGUAUUCAUCUCUUAUUUUGCAGAUUUUAGCUGGGUCUCCAAACCUCCUCUCCUCCUUCCUUUGCAGCUUGGGCGCUUUUGGGAAUUUUUCUGGGUACAAUAUUUCGAGUAAUUUGAGGGUUUUAUUGUUUAAAGUUCGAGGUCUGGGUCUCAUGAGACUUGUCAGGGGAAUGCAGAGAUUGUUUCGUGAUGUGGUGAACGUGCUGGGCUGGAAGAAAUCCUUCAGCCAAGGGAUUGGCGUUACUGUGCCCAAGGCAAGAACUCGCGACAAACCUAUGAUUAGGGUUUUGAAUUUCUAAAUUUAAGGGGUUUUGAAGGGAAGAAUUAGGACAGAGUAUCUCACUGAGAAUAGUUAUCAUCAAAAGCUAUGACUCGCAUUUUGGUUCAAAGAGGUUCCACUGGCAGCUCUUCUUUGAAUCUGAGCCGCUCUUCUUCCUUGCCCGGACCAUCUGUUUUUUUUACUCAUCAAGUUCCUUCAGCUGCAAAAGAUGGGGAGGUUAAUGAGGAAGUGUCAGAACUAGUUGCUUCAGAUGAGCGUUUAGAGUGUUCCAGGAGUAGUGAGAAUAAGGGUGUGAAAGAUGAUCCUUUGGUAGAAUAUUUGCGAAAUGAUCGGAAUGAAACUUCAAGUGAUGCAAUUGCUGAGGCUGAGAAAGUGAACACUCUUGCUGCCUUGGGUUCAUGUGAUAUGAUGGAUAAUUCAGGUGAAAAAGUUGCUUCUGAAACCGAAGUUUCAAGUGGUGAACCCUCCCCAAUUGGCAGCAGAAGUUCUCAUCCUCCUCCACCUCCUGCUCCACCACCUAAACCUUCAUCAGAAAAUUUAAAUUCAAGAAGAUUUGCCUCAGGAAGCUCAAAUCCUGUUCGUGCUGGAUCAUCUAGAAGAGCUGUUGCCUGGCCCAUCGUUUCUACAAGAACCUCACCAUCUGAGUCAAGGCCUUCUUCUCCUAGAUCUCAUAGUGAGAAUGAGGGUUACAAUAGUGCUGAUGAACAAAGCCCAUGCUUUGUAUCCUCAUAUGGUGAUGCUGAAAGGGAGCGGCAAUUUGAAAUUGAUAUUAGACUAGCAAUAGGUUUAGAAGUCAAACGGAUGCUAGAAGAUGGGAACUGCCUCUUCGGAGCUGUUGCUGAUCAAGUGUAUGGGGACUUUGAAGCUUAUCAUUUGAUUCGUCAAAUGUGCAUUGACUACAUGGAGCGAGAGAGAGAUCACUUUUCUCAGUUUAUAACAGAAGGCUUUACAUCUUAUUGUAAGAGGAAAAGAAUAGAUAAGGUCUAUGGGAACGUGGAGAUUCAAGCCUUAUCAGAAAUGUAUAACAGACCUAUUCAUAUCUACUCCUACAGCAUAGAACCUAUCAACAUAUUUCAUGGAAGCUAUAAUACUGACACACCUCCCAUAAGGCUUAGCUACCAUCAUGGGAAUCAUUACAAUUCACUUGUUGACCCACGUCGUUUGACAAUUGGCGCUGGGCUUGGAUUUAGCUGUCUUCAAGGGACUAAUGUGGACAAGGAUCAAGUCAAGGAUGCUAUUAAAGCUCAACAAGACCAACAGAUUGAUAAUGCACUCCUGGCGGAGGGGCGGUUCUACUCUGAUCUGGAACUUACUGAGAAGGAAAUCGAGUGAAUGGUGAUGGAAGCUUCACGAGCUGAGUACCUUGGGAAUGACAAGUUUAAGAUGCAUGUGGAACGUGCUUCAACUGCGGAACCAUCAUCGUCUGGAGCUAGUACGUAUUGCAAAGAUCUGAAAAUCUAAUAUUGGAGGGUUCAAAAGAGCAAGUUCUGAACAGUGGGAUGGAAUUGGUGUUGUCAAUGGGAUUCAGUUAUCUGGCAAUAGAAGCGUACAGCAUAUUGGGGGAUGAUGUGGAGUCCAUGGUGUGUUAUCUCCUAGAAACAGGGAGUAGCAGCAGACGCGAAGGCAAGGCAACCGAACCAAGCAAUGAAAGAAUGUAGACGCAAAGGCAAGGCAACAUUCGUUUAAAAAACUCUAUUUGCUCUGUAUCAAAUAAAUUUUCUGAAAUCCCGAGAAAUGUAUGAAUUAUAAUUAAAUAAUUUAAAUAAAAUUAUUAAUUUUUAUUUUUAAAA